CGCCGGCUGCCCGGAGGGGAUGGCCCCGCCCCGCGGCCCUCCUGGCUCUGCGAUUGGCUCUGUGGGAAGCGGGCGGGAACGGAGCGCGGAGCCAACGAGAUCGCGUCAGGCGCCGCGAGCGCCGCUUCCUGUUGUCAGUGGCCGUGAGGCCGCGGCGUCGGCUCCGAGGCUGAGGGGCUGCCGAACCAGGAGCUCCCACGCCUGCUCCCGCUCGGUUUGGCUUAACCACAGGAAUUAUCUCUUGGAGUCUCCCCACAGGUUCAGUGUCGCUGACCUCCAUCAGAACGUCUACCACUGCGACCUGUGCACCCAGCGUGGCUUCAUUUGCCAGAUCUGCCACCACCACAACAUCAUCUUCCCCUUUGAGUCUGACACCACAGCCAGGUGUGCCGAGUGCAAGACCGUCUUCCACCAGAGCUGCCAGGCCGUGGUGAAGAAGGGCUGCCCCCGCUGUGCCCGCCGGCGCAAGUACCAGGAACAGAACGUUCUCACCUAAUCCCCACCUCCAGACCCCACCCUCGAGGUCAGGGGGUGAGUGCCAACAGCCUGGGCCGCGCAGUCUCACAGUGUCACAGCUGUGUCCCCUUGGCGGGAAGACCCUCAGAUGUGACCAGAGCACAGGCCUCCCAGAGAAAGCCCAGGAUGCCCGAUGAUGCUCCAGGACCACCCUGCUACCCUCUGCUCUGGGGGCGGGAGGGGUGGGUGCCACACGAUGUCCUAUCUGGGGGUAGACAAGGGCCUGUUCCUAACCAGGCCCUGGUCACCACCGUCAUGGCACCUCCAUUAGGUGGAAACACUGUGGAAAUGAGACUUGGAAGCAUUUUCAAUUACAUGUUCUUGAUUAAAAGGUCUAGUUUUUUAAGGUGGGUUUUUCUCCUUCAUAUUGCAACAGAAAAUAUUUUUUUAUUCUUGACCCUACACAAGUCACCCAUGAAAUCCAGGCAUUCUUACCCUGAGCAGAUGCACAGGAGCCACUCAGGCCUGGCUGGGCAGACGGGCAGGCCAGUGCUACCAACGCCACAGCCCCACCUGCUGUGGGCUCUCAGUCACAACCCCUGCCCGCCUGAGCCCAGAGAGGGCAGCGAGCCCAGGCAGGGGCUGGCCUCAGGCACCGUGACUGCCAGGCCCUGCACUGUGGAGAGGUGACCGGGUCCUUCCACUGCUGAGAUGUGCAGGGACGGGCAGAGAAGCUACCCUGAGGAAGCAGCCCCAGCCUCGGUCUUACAAAGCCAUCAAUUCCCAAAGCUUCGCUGGACUUCCCCAGCAGGGCGCUGCCGGACACGGGGAAAGUUCCGUGGCGCAGGAUUGCCUUUUGAUGGGGGUCUUGGGGCUGGGGUGGGAGCCUAGAAUUGUUUGCACAGUUACGUUGAGACCCUUGAGGUUGGGGGGCGGGUGUGCUCCCUGUGCUCCCUCUGUUGCUUCACACCUGCCCGCCCACCGCUGGACCCAGCAGGCCCUCUUGUCUCAGCCCUGGGGUCCCCAGCUUAGAGUAGGAGGCCUCAGGUGGAGUCUGCCUGUCACUGUCAAGAAAUGAGCCUGCCCACCCCUCCCUGGGGGUGAUCUGCUGCUGAGUCACCAGCCCAGCUGAGGAGCUGGAAGAAUGCGCACUAGAAGAGAGGAGGCAGCGGGCAGGCAGGUGGAGGCACCACACGGCUCCUCCUCCCUGUCACGGAGGAUGGUGGCACCUGUGCCCAAACCCACAGCCUCCUAAACCCACAGGCGCGUCCUUAUCCUCACCCCAGCCCCGCAGCCCGCAUUGACGCUCACCGUGAACACCGCCUGAUCGGAGCCAGCGCUGCCCAGUCCCGGAGUGCCAGGAGCCUGGCCCUGGUGGGCUUGGGCCUGUUGGGCCAGUGAGGAUAUCCCCCUGCCCCCGAAGGUGCCCUAGGAGGCAGCAGGGGUGAGGCCCUGGUUGGAGGGGCCUCCCCCACCCGCAGGAUUGUUAGCAUUAGAGCUGCCCCCACCCUGUGACUGUGACUGAGAAGCUGCUAGUGCUUUCAGAGGAGUUGACUCUUACCCAACAGUGGAACGCUGAUGUGAACCUCAGUAGUGCCCACACUAUUUUAAAAUGUUAUUUUAUGCAAUAAACUGUUCCUAGUCAGUGGGGGCAUGGCCCUGAGAAGUGCUUUGUAUUGAAGGAAUUGCUGCCGUGUUGUGUGAUUUUUGAAUGAUUUUGCAGUAAAGACCUGGUCUUUCU